ensembl:lncRNA
AUGAAUUCUGCCAUCUUGACUGCAUUUGCAAAUAUCUCAGUCCUAAUGCAGGAGAAGCAAGUUCUCUGUAUGUGACUGUCAACCCAGCUCCUGGUGGUCCUAUGAUUGUUUGGGUAUGCUUCCAGCACAGGUGUAAAAUGCAACAAGGUGGGAAGGAAACCCUUCUCCUGCAGCAGCACCUGGGGUAGAAGGCUUAGACAACACAAGUUCACUGCACCUGAAUUGGGUGAAGUUUUGCAAAUUCAAUGGUGUUAAUUAUUAGUAAUCCCUGUGAUUAUAUAACAGUACUCAUGGUGGUGAUUCUUUUUGCUGAACAGAAACUAUGCAGCAAGAGAGAAGUGGUUUCUACAAAGAAAACAGUUCUUCCUCACAUUUCAAGAAUCAGUGAACAUCGAUAUUUAAGUCUUGAGAUUCCUGCUUUUUUGGAGAAAGAUACAUAUAUGAACAUGACGUCAACAGCUGGAUUCAAGUGAGUUUUUCAUAGUUCUUCAUGUCUAGAUGAUAUUCAAGGCAGAUAUUGCCCUCACUUAAUGAACUCUCCUAUCUUCUAAUAUAAUAAUCACUCUUCCAAAGAGAGAAAUAACACUGA